rnacentral:rRNA from 1 species
CCUGGCUCAGGACGAACGCUGGCGGCGUGCUUAACACAUGCAAGUCGAACGAUGAAGCCUAGCUUGCUAGGUGGAUUAGUCGGCGAACGGGUGAGUAAUACGUGAGUCGACCUACCUUUUGACUCUGGGAUAAGCCUGGGAAACUGGGUCUAAUACCGGAUACGACCAAUCUCCGCAUGGGGUGUUGGUGGAAAGCGUUAUGGAGUGGUUUUAGAUGGGCUCACGGCCUAUCAGCUUGUUGGUGAGGUAAUGGCUUACCAAGGCGACGACGGGUAGCCGGCCUGAGAGGGUGACCGGCCACACUGGGACUGAGACACGGCCCAGACUCCUACGGGAGGCAGCAGUGGGGAAUAUUGCACAAUGGGCGCAAGCCUGAUGCAGCGACGCCGCGUGAGGGAUGACGGCCUUCGGGUUGUAAACCUCUGUUAGCAUCGAAGAAGCGAAAGUGACGGUAGGUGCAGAGAAAGCGCCGGCUAACUACGUGCCAGCAGCCGCGGUAAUACGUAGGGCGCGAGCGUUGUCCGGAAUUAUUGGGCGUAAAGAGCUUGUAGGCGGUUGGUCGCGUCUGCUGUGAAAGGCUGGGGCUUAACCCUGGUUUUGCAGUGGGUACGGGCUAACUAGAGUGCAGUAGGGGAGACUGGAAUUCCUGGUGUAGCGGUGGAAUGCGCAGAUAUCAGGAGGAACACCGAUGGCGAAGGCAGGUCUCUGGGCUGUAACUGACGCUGAGAAGCGAAAGCAUGGGGAGCGAACAGGAUUAGAUACCCUGGUAGUCCAUGCCGUAAACGUUGGGCACUAGGUGUGGGGGACAUUCCACGUUUUCCGCGCCGUAGCUAACGCAUUAAGUGCCCCGCCUGGGGAGUACGGCCGCAAGGCUAAAACUCAAAGAAAUUGACGGGGGCCCGCACAAGCGGCGGAGCAUGCGGAUUAAUUCGAUGCAACGCGAAGAACCUUACCAAGGCUUGACAUAUACUGGACUGCGUCAGAGAUGGCGUUUCCCUUCGGGGCUGGUAUACAGGUGGUGCAUGGUUGUCGUCAGCUCGUGUCGUGAGAUGUUGGGUUAAGUCCCGCAACGAGCGCAACCCUCGUUCUAUGUUGCCAGCACGUGAUGGUGGGGACUCAUAGGAGACUGCCGGGGUCAACUCGGAGGAAGGUGGGGAUGACGUCAAAUCAUCAUGCCCCUUAUGUCUUGGGCUUCACGCAUGCUACAAUGGCCGGUACAGAGGGUUGCGAUACUGUGAGGUGGAGCUAAUCCCUAAAAGCCGGUCUCAGUUCGGAUUGGGGUCUGCAAACUCGACCCCAUGAAAGUCGGAGUCGCUAGUAAUCGCAGAUCAGCGACGCUGCGGUGAAAUACGUUCCCGGGCCUUGCACACACCGCCCGUC